GUUCUAUAAAGGAAACUUCCCUAGAAAGAAACCACUUCUAAAUGGAAUAAUUAAAAUAAUUUGUUAGAAACUUUAAGUUACCCUAUGAGCUCCUAGUAACACUGUUUUCAAGCUCAUAGGUUAAUUGUUAAGCCCUUUUGCUCCGAGUUGAACUGAUCAAAUGGCUCUGUGUAAAAGGUAACAGUGUAGAAUCCUCUUUGAGAAAUAGCAUGUAAACUUGGGAGAAAUGGCCUAAGCCCACGGUUCUCAAGUCACUGAGACAGUUGAAAAAGCCCCCUCAGGUGGUGAGAAUGGGAUAAUAUUUUAUUAUAUCUCUAAGAUGCCUCAAAUCCAAAGAGAUAAUUAAAUUUGGAAUUUUAUUAGUUUCACCUAAUAGUUGUAUAAAAGCUGAAUAUUUAAGGAUCUCCUUUAUCAGGCACUGAGAUGCUUUGUAUACAUUACUUCAUUUAGUUUUCACAAUAGUCCUAAGAGGUGGAGGUAUUUUUGACCCUGUUUUAUAGUUGAAGAACAGGCUCAGUAAGGUUAUAUUACCUGCUCCAAAUUUCACAGCUAGUUAAUUUAGUUUAUGUUGGAAGUUAGCAUUUAAGGUUGGUUAUUUUUCCUAUGUGGCUCCAAUUGCUCCUAAAAUGGUGUUGAUUUUUCUGUUUAAAAUGAUCCAGAGGAGGUUCUUGGUUCAAAGCAGAUUUUUAAGUGAUUUAAAAGUGCCUCAUUGUCCCAGCGCCAAAUUAUCAAAGUUCAAGGAAUUAUGCAUUUACUCUAGAAGGCUACGGCUUUCAAAUAUUAACUGAGAAAGCCCUACUCUUAAUGAGCUCGUUAAUGCACAUGGCCGCCUUAGUGUUGCUGAACUCCGGUAACUUUCUUCUGCUUUUUUUCUGAAGACCUUUUAAUUCAGGGUGUGCAUUUUCCUCUUGCGUGUCACAAGUGCUAUUCAGGCUUUCUCUAGUUGAAUCCCCUGUUUGUGAGUGCAUACCUGCAGUAUUUUAUAUGCUAAGUGAAAUAUUUUUAAAUUUACGUUAGCACCUAGAUUAGCGUUGAACCUGUUUUAAGAAUGGCAGAGUCUUGCUCUGUUGCCCAGGCUGGAGUGCAGCAUCAUGAUCUCGACUCACUGCAACCUCAAGCAGUCUUCCCACCUCAGCCUGCUGAGUAGCUGAGACUACAGAAUUUGAUAUCCAUAAGUAGUAUUUCUUUUCUUACUCUUUUGAAUAAUUUGGCCUAUAUACAACUCCUAGCUAGAACUGUCUAUUAUAUUAGGG
rnacentral:lncRNA from 1 species